rnacentral:rRNA from 1 species
GACGAACGCUGGCGGCGUGCUUAACACAUGCAAGUCGAGCGGAAAGGCCACUUCGGUGGUACUCGAGCGGCGCACGGGUGAGUAACACGUGAGUAAUCUGCCCCUCACUUUGGGAUAGCCACCGGAAACGGUGAUUAAUACCGGAUAUGACCAUAUGUUGCAUGGGGUGUGGUGGAAAGUUUUUCGGUGAGGGAUGUGCUCGUGGCCUAUCAGCUUGAUGGUGAGGUAAUGGCUGACCAUGGCUUCGACGGGUAGCCGGCCUGAGAGGGUGACCGGUCACACUGGGACUGAGACACGGCCCAGACUCCUACGGGAGGCAGCAGUGGGGAAUAUUGGACAAUGGGCGGAAGCCUGAUCCAGCAACGCCGCGUGAGGGAUGACGGCCUUCGGGUUGUAAACCUCUUUCAGUACCGACGAAGCGCAAGUGACGGUAGGUACAGAAGAAGCACCGGCCAACUACGUG